AUAUUUUUGAUGUUUAGUUCCCUGACAUGUAUAGUGGCCACUGCAUUAAGUAUGAUUUUUAUAGUUGACAUUAGGUGGAAGUUUAUACAGCGACACACUGCACCACUUCUGUGAUCACCAGCUGACACCAUCGCAUUUCUGGGACAUAAUCACUUCAGCUCUCUGGAUUAAGAUCAGUGAGCAACUAAUAAAAGAGUCCUGUAACAAACAGACAAGGUGAGACAGUGAGACACACAGGAGAUCAAAUUGCACCUCUGGGGAAUACUGUACCUUACCCAGACACCUAGUGAGAACAGUCAUCUUUAUCACUCCUGGUCAUGUAUCCUCCUGAGAAAAUUAGGAGUAUUAUUUUAAAACAUAAUUCUGUUAAUUCUGGAUUGUAAGGAGACUUAACUAUGCCCUUCCUCUCUUUUAUGCAGUCACCCUAAUAACUUUGGGUUGUAAGAGUGUGCACUACAUCUUAACUGUCUGCCUGACUGCAUCAUGCGCUUGAUCUCAGUCCUAAAUUCAUGCUGAGCUCUGCAGAGAAGGGCCACUCCAUUCAAUGCUGCAUCCAUUGAAGACUUUUUUCAGUGUGCUGCUCUGUGAGCAGCGGAGCUAAUGAUACCUGGCUUCCAGCAGCUCUGUGUCUCCUGGUUGGGUUCUCUGACGUCUAAUAAGGUGUGACUGCCAAUUAAAGCCUUUCCUGUGGCUGACACAGUCUUAACAGUGCUGUCCCAUGUGGAUUCUCAGAGGUCUAAUAAAGGUGAGCUCAUAGUGUGCUUGUGCUUACAGUGAAGGAAUGCAGUUACGCUCUCUCCUCUGCCUGACUUUUUUGUUUUCUCAAAACUUGUUAGAGCAAAAUACUUUCUAUCUUCUGGCAAAUUUCAGUGAAAAUGGCCACAAAGCUCAAAUGUGACCAAGGCACUCAAAUGGAUGUGCAAUCACACAUCGAGUUUCUUUGGGAAUACAGUCUAAAAACUACUAUUUCUACAGGAAACUACAUUUAUCUCAAUCAAAAGACUUAUAUCUGAAAAGUGGGUUUGCCUUAAGUGGCCUCUUUUUUUCUUUAAAACUGUUGAUGAGUGUAAAGAGUCUUGUCUGAUAUCAUUUUGGUGGCCUGUUACUGCACCCAGCAACUUAUUCUUCACUCAUCAUUUUAAAUGGUGAUAGAAGAAUUAGCUGCAGCACCUUAACUUCUCCGUGCCAUGAACAGCUUUGUACAGAAAGGUUUUGUUCUUCUACCUCUUGAGCCACAGCCCGUGUCAGAAACUUCACAGUGUCCUUCUGGUGCCAAUGUAUCCCUGUUCUUGGGCUUGUCCGCCCUUGGAGCCCUCUCUGCCUGGCACAGAGAAAAGUCUUCCAUCUCUUUGAAAGUCCAGGCAGGAGAAGCAUAGCCUUGCUCUGCCACACCAAUGGUGCCCUGUGGUUGUUUAAGACUUGCAGCAAUACACCCGACCUCGUUCUCCUCAUACAGAGCUGAGAUGGGACACAAGGAAAGACUGAGUUCUCCCUCUGCAUUCAAAAUUGCAGCUAUUCAUUGGAACACAAAAUAUUUUUUUCCCAGUUGUUAUCAGUAUAAACUUAACCUGUAAUUUUAAAACAUAGGGCCAGCUCCAUCACUGACCUGCUCUGUACUCCCAUUAUUAGAAUCUCUUUUAGUUCUUCACUGUUCAUACCAUUAAAUAGUAAAAAAACCAAUUCCUGGAUGAGAAUUUUUUUGCCUGAUCUAUUUCUCACUAAACUCAGAUAUCAGUCUUCACUGACUUCAACAGACACUGAGACAGCCUUAAAAGAACAGUAAUGAAGUGCAUGGAGAACCAGCUCUCUACUUUGCAGUUCUGUAGCCAUAAAAAAAGUAUAGACAAAUUGCAUCAGGGUCCUAAUGAAAGUUAAAAAUAAAGGGGGGAGGAACAUGAUAAACGAUUACAGCAAACAUCAACUACAUGGAUUUUUGCAGGUUUUGUUUGUUUGUUUGGGUUUUUUGUUUUGGUUUGGUUUUUUUUUAAGGUUGAGAGGGAGAGAAUGGUAGCAUCUAAACAUUAAGAUAAGACAUAGUGCUCAUGAAAAGGUAUUUUUUCCCCCAGUUGUUUCACACUGACUAUAUUUUCAGAGCCUUAUUUUUAUUUUCUGAUAGCCAGGGCAUUUUAUACCAUGUAGAAGAGUUCCUUACAGGAUUUCACAUUUGCACAAAUACAAUAACAAUGCUCUCUCAUAGAUCAAGUCCCACUAUUUUGUGAUAGAAAAGCCUGUUUAUUCACACAAAAAGGGCCAUCCUGCUGCUAUAAAAAUCUCUCUGCUAAAUGCUUCAGUAAAAAGAUUGCUGAAGCAAAAAUAAUAAUCAAACUGUACUGAAUCCCUUGAGACUGGCUCCAAAGAGGUACCAAUAAGAGGGCUCCUCGAAAAUGAUAAAAAACCCACAAGCUGUCUCAUAAAAACAACUGUGUUCCGUGUUGGAGAGAGAGUUCAUCUCAGAGAGGCAAAACGCCAGUGCUGUUGCUUUGCUAUCAUGGGUUGCCAUACUUCCAGAAUGGUUUUGUUCUUCUUCAGAUCCCUGGGGUCUCACACACAGCUGGUGUCAAGCAGGAGAGAAGGGUAUGGGACAGAUCCAGCUUCAUGCCAGCUCUGCUGCUGAGGUAGGGUACAUUUCCAUCUGUUUUCCUUGCCUGAGAAAUGAGGAGGGUCAUGGUGCAAGGCCCAGAGGCAGCAGGUGCAUGUGGGCUGAAUACAACAUGGUGAGGACAAGAGCACAGCACCCAUAGGAGCAGAACUGCAAGGCACCACGUCCCAUCCAGGAUAAGUGGGAGAUUAAGAUGGAUGAAGGGGGGUCUGAAACACGGAUCAGGGCAAAGCUACAGGUUGCCCUGCUGGGAAGCAGCUUUAUAUAGGUGGAUUUUAAAUUGCUGCUGUGUAGAAAGCCUUACAGACCUUACAGACACCCAUGUCUGCAACAGGGGACAAGUGUGACCUCCGUAAUUCAUGAGAAAAGAAAUUUCUUUGGAAAGGUACCCAGAUUCUUUAUAUGACAAUGACCAAUGUUCCAGACUAACAAAAGUAUUCCAUACCACCAUGUAAUGCUAAAAGACCCCAUCAUGAAACAACCAUACUUCAGAAAGUACUCCUUUGUUCUACCCGUUUUUUUGUUACAUCUGCUAGAAAUAAUGACUACAGAAUCUCUUUCAACAAAAGGUCAUUUAUGUCAAUGGACAGAACACAGAGGAUCAGAUCACCUGCUGUAAUUGCAAAUUAAUGCUCUACUGCUAAUGCAUUAACUACACAAUAUUGAUCUACAAUUGAAUCAUACAGGCUACUGUGAAGUGAUUUUUACUUUAAUAUUUUUAUGCUUUUAUUGCUUUUUCCAUAACACAUUUUUCUCUUUCCGCUGGAAUUUUUUAUAAUUGUUUCCCAUUUUAAUUUCCUGCAGCAAGAUGACUUUUAAAAAUGUAUGUCUCUUCCAAAGCCUUGCAAAAAUCUAACGAACCAUCAAUGUGCCACAGUAAAUACAGACAUGAUGAAAAAGAUUAAAAAAAAAUCCAAUAUACAUCUUAUUUUGAUACAUUUAGGCUUUAAAAAAAGUUUACUUAAAUUAAAAAUAAAAUACUUCAGCCUCACUGUAAGCCUGUAGUAAUGAACUGUACCUCAGGUCAUUAGAAAGAUGCAGCUAGACAUUUCUGGAGUUUUUGCUAUGGAGUGAGUGCAGGAUUAUCUCCAUAAAUAAAAUUGUUAUUAUUUUUUAAUUUCAUAUCUGUACUGAAAAAGAAUUGGUGGAUUCAGGUAUGUUAAAAAAAGUAUAGUGCUAUGGAAUCAGCUGAAGAAGGAUUGAAAUGUUUCAUCAUUUGUAAUGAGAAAUUAAAAAACAAAUGGGCUCUUUUUGCAACAUGUCAGAAGUCCAUACAGGGGAAGAAUGCUCUGUUAAACUGCUGUACGAAAUUUUAAUCCCAGCUACUUCUGACUACAAUGAUUCAGGUUUUUUUCUAUAUCUGCUGCAAACUUCCUUAUACACAAGCUUUUCAUGAAUAACAAUGCUAAGAUGUUGCCCUCCAUCUUCUAAAGGAGGGGAUAGAACAUAUUUUGAAUACUGAAACUCUCUCCCCAAACCAUUUUCUAAUAUAACUGCUUAAUAGCACUUGAGGUGGUUAUGGCAUAUAGCAAAAUAUGGCUUACCACCUAUCUCCUGACUUGCAUUCCUAUGUACAAUGAUUUUGUAAAUGGAAAAUAAAUCCCCAUGUUUUAAAAAUAAAAGCAAUUGGAAUUGGAAAAAAUAAUGGAGAACUGAUUGUAGGUCAAAUAGCUGCAGAGGAAAAUCUGAUCUUGCUUUUAAUGGAAGAACAUUUAUUAUUCAUAAACCUUUCCUCUAACAGAUAUGCCAUACUGCAAUUAAAUCAACUCACACAAAGCCUUCUUAUUAUCCUAGCCCAUGAAUGUCACCCUCCCAUGGCAGAGAAGACACGGGUCUCUUGUCGAGCCACAGUGAAGGGAAGCCCAGUGGUCAAGCAAGUUCUGCUCUCCCAGGCUCUCUAGCUGGGCUCCAUGGACGGAUCAAUAUGGUCUGUGCUACUUAGCAGUUAUUACGAGACUGCGUUUAAUAAUGGAUUAUCUGACAUUCCCUACCCUUUUAAAAUGCUGCUAAUGAGGAAUUCUGUGUGCCUCUGGAUCCAUCGUAAAGUGUCCUUGCGGUUUUGGAAACAUGAAGUCAGAUCACAAAAAUGUGCAGUAUUACGUCAGUCCAAGUGUCUAUCAGAACCAAACAGUGACAGCAACAGUGUCCAAAGCAGAUACCUGGGAUCAAGCUAUGGGACACAUACAUAAUUCCUCCAGUCAUGGCUGGGCUUCGCGAACAAAGAUUUGGGGAGGGCUCUACCCACAUUUGUUGCAGGCGCGUUGGUGGCUAAAAAGGCCGAUACGAGAUAGGCACGUCCGGUUGCUAAAGGCACAGCAGAAAGACUCCUUAGGUGGUAUAUUCUGCAAGGCACCAUUCUUUCUGCGUUGUCUUUUCUCCUCAAGAGUGAUCCUGCGUGCUUUCUCAAAAGCAUCAGCAGCGUUAUAGAUGGCGUGUCUCCAGGCCUCCCGACUGGAGGCCAGAGUAGACCAGUUAUGGUGAUCAAUAUGGCCCAGGCUGAGAUGUUGUUUCAGGGAGUCCUUGUAUCUUUUCUUCGGGGCUCCUCUCUUGCGGCAGCCGGUGGCAAGUUCACCAUAAAGCAGGAUCUUAGGGAUGCGGUGGUCCUUCAUCCUGGAGACAUGCCCUGCCCAACGCAGCUGUGUUCUCAGUAACUGCCCAACGCAGCUGUGUUCUCAGUAACCCUCCAGUAGAGUCCCAGCUUUUAACUAUUUAACUCAGGGACUUGCUAUGCAGUGAAUCUUAAUUAGUGAAUCAUUCAGUAGACCCCUUUAUUUGAUGCUAUCUACAAAUUCUGUACUUGCUCUGUAUUUUGGUACUGAGAAAGCAGAAGUGAACUGUCAAAGCUGUAAGCAACAGAGGUUGUGACUGUUGAAGAAACAACCUGGGCAUUUGAUACCAAGGAUAUGUGAGAGAGAUUGGGAUUCAGGAAAGGAUAUAUUAGCUGGCUAUUUGUAUGACUUUGUUAAGAAGAAAAACAAUGGUAAUGAUUCUCAUAAUCCUAAAGAGGUUACAAAGAUGACCUGUGAAGAUGAGGCUGUCUUCUUCCCUCUAUCACAAUGUAUCUUGUCUGAGAAGCAAAUAAAAGUUUCAGUGUAACCACA